rnacentral:rRNA from 1 species
UACGUAGGGGGCAAGCGUUGUCCGGAUUUAUUGGGCGUAAAGAGCGUGUAGGCGGCUUCACAGGUCCGCUGUGAAAACUCGAGGCUCAACCUCGAGCUGUCGGUGGAAACUGUGUGGCUAGAGUCCGGAAGAGGAGAGUGGAAUUCCCGGUGUAGCGGUGAAAUGCGCAGAUAUCGGGAAGAACACCCGUGGCGAAGGCGGCUCUCUGGGACGGUACUGACGCUGAGACGCGAAAGCGUGGGGAGCGAACAGG